rnacentral:rRNA from 1 species
GAUGAACGCUGGCGGCGUGCCUAAUACAUGCAAGUCGAGCGAACAGACGAGGAGCUUGCUCCUCUGACGUUAGCGGCGGACGGGUGAGUAACACGUGGAUAACCUACCUAUAAGACUGGGAUAACUUCGGGAAACCGGAGCUAAUACCGGAUAAUAUAUUGAACCGCAUGGUUCAAUAGUGAAGGACGGUUUUGCUGUCACUUAUAGAUGGAUCCGCGCCGCAUUAGCUAGUUGGUAAGGUAACGGCUUACCAAGGCGACGACGCGUAGCCGACCUGAGAGGGUGAUCGGCCACACUGGAACUGAGACACGGUCCAGACUCCUACGGGAGGCAGCAGUAGGGAAUCUUCCGCAAUGGGCGAAAGCCUGACGGAGCAACGCCGCGUGAGUGAUGAAGGUCUUCGGAUCGUAAAACUCUGUUAUUAGGGAAGAACAAAUGUGUAAGUAACUAUGCACGUCUUGACGGUACCUAAUCAGAAAGCCACGGCUAACUACGUG